CAGCAGCCACGGUAAUACGAAGGUCCCGAGCGUUGUUCGGAAUCACUGGGCGUAAAGGGAGCGUAGGCGGCGUGGUAAGUCAGAUGUGAAAUCCCGGGGCUCAACCCCGGAACUGCAUCCGAUACUGCCAUGCUAGAGGAUUGGAGAGGUAGCUGGAAUUCUUGGUGUAGCAGUGAAAUGCGUAGAUAUCGGAAGGAACACCUGUGGCGAAAGCGGCUCACUGGACAAUAACUGACGCUGAUGCACGAAAGCUAGGGGAGCAAACAGGAUUAGAGACCCCAGUAGUCCCUGUCUCUUAUAC
rnacentral:rRNA from 1 species